UUCGUGCCGACACCAAACGUGUCUUUCCUUUCACUGAACUCUGAGAUCGUCUCUCAGGACCAGAGAGGAACAGAUUUACCCUUCAGAGCCGGAGAAAACCUUUUCUUGGGAUUUUCUUUGGGUAUUUUUUUUUUUUUUUGCGAACUUCAAAGCAGAAAACAACACAAAGAAUUUGAUCAACAAAAUCCUGAAGCUGAACUGAUGCUUUUCUGCGGUGCUGCAGCCCUGGCCUACAUUCAGAAUAUUAAUUUCCAUUCUGCACCGGCUGUCCCCCUGGACUCUGCAGCGUACAUGCGUGUGCGCCUGUUGGAUUCGGAGAUGCUUUAUUUGGACCGAGCUCAGGUGCUGAACCUCUCGAGACGCUCUCGGGCCUUUGACGAUACCUUCAGCCGCUCGCUCUGCAUCACUGAUGGGAACAUUUUUUGCUCUCUGCAGGAAAACAGAAUCCCUGACAAGAAUGUGCAGCAAAUGUGGAGGAGAAUACCUGCUGCAAUCAUCACUUUUCCAAAGUAAAGUGAGUUUUCCAACCUCACUUUGAAGAAGCUCAUUGAUUUUGCUCUUUACCUGAUGACACAGCAUUUUGUUUUGUUAGGAAAUGUGGAGCUCCUGAGCGGCGCUGAGCCUCUGGGUGUCACAGAAGCUACCUGUCAGAGAGCGCCAACUUCCUGUUUUUGUUUCCUGAGAGAAAGGAGAAGAUCCAGUUUGUGACGCAAGACAUCUGAGUGGAAGAAGAGAAGGACAAACAUCAACAGAAUGAUCCUGUCUUCCACCUCAGGCAGCUGCAGGAGGAUGGCGAAAGGUCUUUGCAUCCAUCCUCAGUUUUAUAAGGAACCAGAACAAAAAUGAAGAUGAUUACCCAUCCUUCAUUUUUGUUUUUUGUUUUUUAAAAUCCAAACAUCUUUUUUCAUUAUACAUCCAUAAACAACUCAAAGAUUUGGCAAAUUUGUGGGGAGAAAAUGUUCUAACAGCCCAAGAGGGCAGCACACUGACAUACACGAGGAGCUGGUCUGCUCCCCCCACAUCCCACAAUGCACUGCUCUGAGAAGGAAACCUUUGGCUAGGUUUUAGAAAUGCAUCUGCUAAACAGAACUGGAGGAACAGUGGGAUUUCUCUGAGAGAUUUCCCAGAGCCACUGGGAUCCUCUCUCCUUCUGCCAUCAGGACCGAGGCUCCAUCUGAGCAGGAAAUGAUGAAGGAAUGCUGGACGAUGGAGUGGCAUCAGAAAAUUAGAGGUGAACGUCUGGAGGCUGGAAACGGGACCGAGCCCUGAAGACCAUAGCGAGAUACCUCAGGGACCACUGCCCCAGUUGGAAGGACAUCAUCAAGCCAAUCAGGCUCCUGAGGAGCAGAAGAGCAGGACUUCUCACCACCACCACUCCUCCUCUGGGAGCUGCCGCUUCUCUUCAGAUGCAUUUAUCUGACAUUCUUUGGUCCUUCGAGCCGGAAAACAACAUAUCUGCGUCCUUGGGGGAGGACCAUGCCGAUUGAAGUCUGUGCACAGCCCGUGAGACUAGGUCUCCGGAGGAAAGUCCGUCGUAGUGAAUUCUACGCCGGCCAAUCGACUGGUCUGAUCCCUGGGUCCGGAUUGACGUUAUUCGUUAACCAGUCAGACCACAACGACAAGGCAAGUACAGCGCUUUUUCAGGGGUUCGAGUCCCCGAAGUGGCCCAGAAUUCUGAGGGACAGGUUCAAGUCCUGUUGCCUAAAACACGUGUGGGUUUGGAGUCCCGGAAAAGUCCAGAAUUCUAAAUAAAGGUGUAGGUUCGAGUCCUGCAGCCUAAAACGCGUAAGAGGGUUCAAGUCCCUAAAAGGCCUAGAAUAACAACAAAAAUAAAAUAAAAAAAAGUUUUUUUUUGGUGUGAAUGUGUGUGCAUGUGUGAAAGGAGUGAACUUGUUCGAAGCAGUGAGCAGCUGGAAACCUUGCGGUGUUAACACAAGGCUGCUUGUUGGAGUAGAACAAGAUUUCAUCUCAUUAGGCUUUAGGUGAAAAGAACCCAGAGUCUAAAACGGGUUUUGCUCCUGGGAGGACCCUAAACGUGUGACCGGAUCAGACAACAGGUCUGACCUAGAAGCUUGUUGCACGGGGAGUGAAAUUCGGUCCUGAGAGAAAUUCUCUGUUGGUUCUGAUCACACUCUGUGACUAACGUAAAUGUAAAAAAAUAGAAAAAAUAUAAAAAAUGGGGGAAUUCAAAUAAAAAAGUUGAAUUACCAUGAGAUUAAAAAUAUAUAGAAAGAGGUUCAUCCAGGUUCAACUACAUUCUUGAUAAAAUGGGAUAAAACUACAAUUUUAAGGGGAAUGUACUGAAUUAGUUCAACAGUUACCAAUUCAAACCAGAAUAAAAACUAAAAAAGAAACAAAAAAAUAGUGACGAAUUAAUUUGUGCAAAACUGUGCUUAAAUGAAGCAACGAAAAAUAAAGAAUGGCAUUCAGAAAAGUAAAACUAGAGAUAAAUCAGAUGUGAGACUCAGACCCCUGCAACAGCAGGCUGCAGCAGGCUGCAGACCGAGCAGGAGCAGGAUGAAAGGGGGGGAGAGCAGAAACCAGCUGAUUUCUCACCUCCUCCCUACCAGGGGACGAAUGCUCCUCUGUUGACGGGUUUUUACCCACCAGUGACUGAUUUAAAUACACCACAAAAAGAAAAAAUAAUGUUAGGAGGAAAAGGGAAAAAACUUGAAUGGAGAAAAAACUAUGGGGGUUGGUUUGGAAGAAGCUGGAGAGUCAUCUAAAGUUGCAUAGACAUUUACAAUCAUUGAAGUGCCCAAUCCCAGAGCUGGAGAAGAUGGCCAGAGGCCUACACUUCUUUUGUUUAGCACCUGGACAUUAGAGGAUGUUAGGAAGGCAGUGAGGGGAGUUAUCUCUCACAGGGAAAAUCCACAGGAUUUUCACGGGCAAAUGAUGGAAGUUCAGAGAGCUUACCAUCUGAAUAGCAUUAAAUGUCAGAAAGCAUGUAUGACUGCUAUGAAAGCAGACUGGGCAAAAGUAAAGGAAUCCUAUGGAUGAUGAUGAUCCACCCAGACCUCUUCCGCAUAACAGUCUAAGAGUUAAUUCAAAGUCUUACACUUUUAGGACAAAGAAUUAGAGAAGCCUUUCCAAUGAGACCUGAUUAUGGAAAGAUUGGUCAAACUAAAAAAAAAUGGAGAGUUAGUGUCUGAUUUUAGAGUCAGAUUUAAAGAAGUUUUAAAGCUAAUUGUGGACUCAGAGAUAAUGAUAAAAGUCCCUAUAGACAGCAGCUGAAACAAGCUUUACUGCAAGCUAUGAGACCAGAGAUUGCAGACUAGAUAAGGACACUUUACAUAGAUCUGCCUACAGGAGCACUACAACAGUUUGUGAAUUUUGCUGUUCAUGCAGAAAAAGUGAUGGUGAAUAAAAAGAAAUUUAGGAAUCAAAGUGAACAUACAUUUUGGCAGGAGGAAAGUAGUGAUGUGUUUUUUGGAAGGAAUGUGAACAGAGGAAGAAAUUGUGGUUGUGGAAAAGAAAAUUUUAAAGGAAAUUUUAGAAGAAGGUUUAGAGGAAGUAGCAACAGAGGGUCAGAGCAGGUUGAUGGAUGUUGGAUUUGUGGACAGAGAGAUCAUUGGCUGAGAGAUUGUCCUGAAAGAAAGAAAUCAGAUUGACUAGAUGGUAGAAGUAAUGUCAAGAUUAACAAUGAAUCUGAACCAGAAAUUCAACGAAUUUGUGAUAAAUUUUUAGAUCUCACUGAAGUUUGUCUUAUGGAAAAGCCAGAAAUAACUCUUUAUGUUCAGGGACAACCGUUUGUUUUUCUUUGUGACUCAGGGGCUUGUAGAACUGUGAUAAAAAGUCAUUACAAUGAUUUUCCUAAGUCAAAUAAAACAAUACAAAUGAGAUCUGCAGAUGGUCAAAUUGAAACUAAACAUUUGAGUAAACCAGUUUGUUUUGAAAAUCCUGACACUAAUGAAACAACAAGCAUUCCUGUGGUUUUAGCACCAAACUGUCCUUUUAAUCUUUUAGGGAGAGAUGUCAUGAUAAGAUUAAAGUUAGGAAUUUACCCCACCAGAGAAGGGGGGAUGCAAGCACGACGUUGCCCCGAUACAGACAUCUGUGUGCUAGAAGGCAGAGGUGAACCACACUAUUAUUGGACUUUAGAUCUACCUAAAACUGAUCUUGGACAGACUGCAAAAAACUUAAUGGAGAAAGCAAAAGCCAGAGUGUCACCCCAUGCAGAUUUUAUGUCUUCAGACAUUCUGUAUGUCAUGUUAAGAUGCAAAAAGUAUCCUAGCCCUGACAGGAGAUAUGAUGAAGCAGUGAGUAAACUAGGAUUUCAAAAAAUGUACAAUAAAUGAUUUUUAUUGGAAAGAUGAAACUAGUUUCUGUACUGUGACAGUUCCACCAGAAGCAAAAAACUUAAUGUGUACAGAAAGAGUGACAAGUUGGAAACAAAUGGCAGAUGCAGUUCCAUUUAUUUCUUGUUCUAAAGGUUCACGACAAAAAUGGGAAGAAAUGAAAGAACAUGUGCAGGAAGUGACUUAUACUUUGAACAGGUAGAAACAAAGUGGGUUUUGCUGUUGUAACUCAAGACAAGGUUCUGAAGGUAGGACCCCUGUGUGGAAAUUACUCAGCACAAUCAGCAGAGUUGACAGCUUUAACUGAAGCAUGCAAACUGUUUAAAGAUAAGCCAGUUACGAUCUAUACUGAUAGCCAAUAUAGCCUACAGUGCAUUUAUUUUGUCAACAGUGGAAGAACUCAGGGUUAAGACAUCAACAGGAAAACCAGUAACGCAUGUAAACUUACUGAAAGAAUUAUUGACUGCUGUAAUGUUACCAUCUAAAGUAGCAAUAUGUAAAUGGGAGACACACACACGAAGAACAGAUCAUAUUUCUAAAGGGAAUGCCUUUGCAGAUGUAACAGCAAAGCAAGCUGCAACAAAAGAUGUAGAAAUAUGCACAAAUGAGGAUGUGACUGCAGAUGCAACCGCUGAUGUUUUAAAGGAAAUGCAACACAGCGCACCGAAA